GCCGCAUUUGUGAUUUUUUUUAAGUCUGCAGUUGAAUCUGCUGUUUAAGGAUUUGCCACUUUGAUCCUUGUUCCUGUAAAUGAUUUUAUUGAACCAAUCUGCCUGAGCAGAUGGUGUAAAGUUCUAUGUUUGAGGGUGCAGACGCAGCCUGCUGUAAAAUGUUAACCCUUUGUUGUCAGUGGAGAGACUGACCCUUUGGCCUUAAGCAGAUAAGGCCCUUCAAGGAGGCAGAGCCUAAAGGCCCCUUCCUGCACACUUCCCAACUCCUCACAGCCACAAGAGGCUAGUUGGAUGACUGUUUCCUCUUCUCUUCUUCUUCUCCACUUGUGUUGAGCUUGUGCAGUUACCCCAACUCCAUACUGCCCCACAUGGUUGUUUUUGGUAUUGAGCUAACACUGCUAUUAUCUGCCUGCAGUAUCAGCCAGCUGUACUGCCUCUCUGUAGUCAGUGUGUAACACUCUACAGACAUAACUCAAGUGAUUGACUUGGUUGAUGAAGUUUGAUGUGCUUAUUCUAAAUCAUUGAUCAUUGAUUUUUGAUUUUUAUCUUUGUUAUAAGAGCCUACAUAAUGUAUUGAUAAAGUAACUCAUUGAAUCAAUCACCUGAUCUGUUGUUACUUAUCACACCAUUGAGCAGUUUUACUGUUCCCUAUAAUACAUGAAUGUAUUAACCCUCCUCAUAAGAUUAAUUAAUUAAUGAACAAAUUAAUUAAUAUUUGAAAUCUAUUUUACCAUUUCAGAUGAAUUGGGUAGUUGAAUCUUUGGCUUUAUUGCGAUUUGUGAAUUAACUUCAGAGUUAAUUCCUUAAAUUGACAAUUUCAUUGGUUUCAGAUUCAUCCAACUGCAUCAGGCAGUUUAUUUAAGCUUUGCUGAUCUCUGCAACACGGAGACAAUUUGAACCCUUUAUUCAAUGGUUCUGUAUCUGAUGUUAAAUUUAAUUUAACAUUAUUUCACCUUGUUUUAUUUCAAUUUUCAUUGAAAUGAAUUUAACUUUAUGUUAUUUUUCUCUCCAUUAGAGAUCUACUCAGAUAGGCUCUUCCUCUUUAUCAAGCACUGAUAAAUUAAGUCGAUUAACUCACUUAAUUUGAUAUUUUGCUUCUUCUUUUCAUUUUAAGCCAACUCAAACUCAUCAACCAACCACCUGCUCCUCUUUACCAAAACCAAACAUGCCUAACACAAAAGAGUCCAGCCAGGGAGACCCCCUGAGGGACAUACACACAGUGUUAGCAAACUUAACUAGUCAGCUGAUACCUCAGUACAUGACUAAGAUUCAUAAGGCCAAACCCUCCAAUCCGGAGGAUGAAAUGGCUGACUUACUGGAAACAGCCUUAACCACGACACUUCGUGACAAAGAGCUCACUAGAUGCAUGUCUGUCAUGAUGUCUUCUCAGCUUGAGUAUAAAGACUACUUGCUGGAAUGCGCUUUCGCAAAGAUAAAGGCGCAAAAAGAUGAAAACAGCGCUCUGAAAAAGACGCUAGAGGAGACUAAGAAGUCUUUAAGUGUUUUAGAAAAACACAGUGCCAGAUGUGAAGCGUCAAAGCUUCCCUCACUGAUAAGUCAUGAAGAAAAUCUUGAUCUCAAAGACAAGAUUGAAAGACUUAAUGAAAACCUUUACAAAAAGGAGAAAGAACUUGAUGACACGAAUAAGCAGCUUGCUAAGACCACAGAGGAUCUGAUACAGUCAGAAUCCCUACUAGAGCAAGCAACAGAAGAUGUAAAAGCUUUGAAAGCACUGGUCAAAGUGCGUGCUGAAGCUCUUGAAGUUAAGGAGAAGCAAACUUCUACCUUACAGCACCAGCUCAAGAUAGCUCAAAGACAGUUAAUUCUUUGUCAAGAACGGCAAGAAAAGACAGACAAAGAACUUGAAGAUGCCCAAAGAGAGUUACAAUGCUCCCUCCAGUCGGGUCGAGCCCAAAGAGAACGCAUGGAGCAAACUUUUCUUGAAGAAAUGAUAGGUGAUCAGCCUCCUGAGAGAGCGCCAUCACUUCCUUCCAAACCAACUCUUAAGUAUCUCUCUCAGCAUCAUGACAGGACCCUGCUUGACCCUGAGAGGUCAUCCUUAAACCAAGAGUCCUACUCUCCUCCCCAUGAUGGCUUCUUACCAUUUCCCUCAGAUAGGGAUCUUGACAAAAUUGCUCGCAACAUAGCACGCUUUGAACCUGAGCACCAAGGUGCUACUGACACCUGCACCUACUUGAAAGACAUUGACUUUUACCUGAGGAAAUUUCCAGGUGCAACCAUUGAUGACAAAAUCUACCUUAUUAAGGCGACGUCAAGUCGAGAGGUUAGCAGUUUCCUUGAACGACAGCCUUAUCAUGUCAGAAAUAAUUAUGACUUGCUCUGCCAAGCAUUAAUCAAAGAGUUUUCUGAUCAUUUGACCCAGACAGGCCUUUCUGCUGCUCUGUCUAUUAAACAAGGGAGAUCAGAAUCUCCCCAACAUUAUUACAACCGCUUACGCGAAGCUUACUUUGGUUUCCGAAAUGAACCAGAAAUGGAGGAGGACUUGAACUUCAAAACGCUGUUCGUCCAGAACCUCCACCCUACCACCAGUCAUCACCUUGGCGUCUUAGCUUGUCCAAACACUUCGACUAGCCGACAGCUUCGUGAACUUGCUGUAAAAGGUUUUGCCAAACAACGACAAACUUUGGCUAAGAAAGCAGAGUCCGUUACUCUCUUGGCUAUGGAGACAAGAUCACUGCCCAUGGAGCUGAACGAAGCUUCAGACUGUGUAUUUUCAGGCUCCGAUAAGCCUCCAAAUGAGUGGUUAACCAGGCCUUCAAAACCUUUUCGACCGCAACAAACUCACAUAGGUCAAAGUUACACACCAAGGCCCAGUUCUGACACAGACCAACGCCAGGUAAACUUUGAGACCAACCGUUGUUAUUCAGACUCCCGUCACGGUGGGUUUUAUCCCAGACAAAGGAAAAACCAUCAACACCGCCAAAGGGGGGUGAAUGACUGGCAGAAUCAGAGUAAAUUACACUCUCAGAAACGACGAUCUUAUUAUCCACCUCAAUCGGUUUCAUCCACUUUGAAGGUGAAUAAACAUGACUACUCAGCUAACCACUGAGAUUAACACUGUGGAGUCAUGAAGGUGUGAGUCCUGCGAAAGCAGAAGUCACCUAGCCAAAGCUAAAUGACUCCAAUAAGAUAUCCAAAUGCUGUGGUGAUACAUUGAUGACUGCAAUACCAGUUGCUGCUUUCUUUGUUAGCAUUUGUCUCUCCUCUGUCAAUAUAGUCAGCUUGUCAGCUGUCAAAUAUCCCAUGAACAGAUUAAAAGCUGAAAUUUCUGUCACUAAGACUCAGAUUGACAAAUUUCAGACUCAACAGCAGAUAAUUAGUCAAACCGAUAAGAGCAUCAUCCCCAAGUUUAACAGACAAAGUUUAAGAGAAACUCUGUGCAGUAAACUUUUGAUGUUUGUGAUUCAGGUUGACUAUGCUCAUACACAGAUGGUUAAUAUGUCUAUAGCAGACAUUUCUUUUCCACCUAAGUCUUAACCAUUUUUGAAACUGAAAUUGAACUUUCAGACUUCUCCAGCAAGCAUGAAAAACAGCUAUAGCUUUAGAUCCAGUUAGCAUUCAGACUAAAGAGUGCUUUUCUAAAUCUCAUUAAUACUGAAAAUUAGGAGAUUUUCUUUCACAUUAGUCUACCAAUAGUUAACUGAGAAAAGUCUAACACCUAGACGAUUUUAUUUGAUAGCUUAAUGCAUGCUUGAUGUUAUCUUAAAGCAGAUACUAGUGAUUCACAUAGUGAUAAUGAGACGCAUCAGUCCUAUUUGCAUACACCUGCUGCUGCUGCUGCUGCUUCAUGGUUGUCUACUCGUCGUCCCGAUGCUCCAUGGACAGGACCACCGUGACGAAGGGGGGACUGUAGCAAUCAAGACAACCCUGGGUGUGAAACCCACACAUUCCUCACAGGAAAGCUUCCUUAUCUGGUCCCAGGAAACAGGAUAUAAAUCUUUCCAGACGUGUUUGCACUUUCAGGUUAAAUAAGUGACCCAACAGGAGGUUGACUAAACCUCUGACUCUUCACGAUUGGUCAAUUCGGAGAACAGAGACAGAGUUUUAUUACCUUUCAAACUGACUCCAUUUGCUGACCAUCUAAAUAAACAUUAACGUCUCAACCCAGAUCUCCCAUUUGAGAUUUAGUGUCUUAAAGUGUGUGAACAUACGGACCCUAGGAAAAGGGGGGACACUGACCUCCAGACCUCGGUCGUAAAACCCUGCUCGACCAUACACUGAUAAAGACUGCAUUCCUUUGGUGAAAGAAUACAAAUGACUGAUCAUGACAUCUUAUGCAUUCAGCAAUGUACUAAUCUGUCUAAUCAUGAAAUUUGUGUCAAAAUGAGAUGUUUCCCGUUUUUCUAUGUGCUUCAGAAGCCAAGUUAUCUUAUCUGACAGAAUAAAUCCUUAUUCUUUAGUUCUUUAGACCAACAGCUUUUCAGACUGUUUCAUGAACUUUUAAGAGUUAAAUUUAUUGACUAUGAAUCCUAAGUUUACUCUAAGUAACAGAAAUAGUUUAGAAAUGUUUGGUUUAUAUUGUAGUUGUUUAUUUAGUAUUUUUAACCAUUAGGUGGUUAUAAUGUCAUUGAAUAACCUUAAUGUGAGUAUUUAGAAUCCAUUAUUAAUCAUGAUGAAGUUCAUUCACAUGUGUUUACGCUUUUGUUGUUCACAGUUUCCAUGUGUUACUGUCUGUUUCAUUUCAGAGUAAUUUAGCAUGUUCAAUGUGAUACUUAAAACAUAAUGAGAAUGUUUGAUGUGAUCCUACACUUCAUUCAUAUGUGUUUAGUGUCAAAUUAUUUGUCAUGAAACCAAGCAUUCAAUGAUAUUAAUCAUAGUGAGUGAGUAUCAGAUCUGACUCUUUUACCAGCCAAAAGAAUAAGUUAGAUCAAAUAAUCAAAGACCACACGACCCCUCCUCUGUCUCCUCACACACACGCCGGAGCCACUCCCAGUGUGAAGAAGAUAAAACCAGUGAAGUCGGGUUGCUCACACGCUCUUAUUCCUCUUAUUCCGCUUAUGCUUCUGCUCUUCUGCCCACACCCUUCUGUGGUGCGUUUCUUUAUUUUCUCUUAGAACUUUUUCUUAGUCUUCUAAGUUUUACGCCACGUGUUGAUUCACGUUGAUUUUUCUUUAACAUCGUCUUAGUUCAAGUUUUGAAACUUCAACUUUUUGUGCACAUAGCAAUUCAAGAUUAAGCCUUUGAUUGAUUUUCUUUAAUUUCGCGAAGCCAUUUUUGAAAGUUUUCUCUGCUCUUCGAGCCUCGUUUUUCUGAGUUUUCUGCGUGAUUUCAAAGUCACCUCCGAACGCAAUCCAACAGGCCCAGGUCAUCCUCUGUGCCAGAGUUUUUGAGUGAGACUAAAGAAGUACCCAAACGAGCAUCCACAGGAUCCACAGGCGCUGGCUUUGCUUCGGGCCCGAGUGCUGCAACUCCUGGCUCAUCCUUCGGCUGACUUCAGUCGUCUUCUGAGCUGAACCGCUCGAACCGCCAGUAGCCCCGGACCUUCGGAACCUGCUCCAUCUUCUCCAAGGACCAGUCUCACUUAAGUAUGCAAACCUCCAGAGCUCCAGAGAGGGCUGGUGCUGUCUCAUGCGUUCAUAACUCAGAUAUCCACCUAUUUCUGGUGAUCUUAGAUUCCUCCAAAUCCACAUCCGAGUUUAUCUCGACACCAAAGUUAGUGUAGGUUAAUAUGUUAGCGCAUAUUCACUCACUAUCAUUAACUUUAGUGCUCCUAGCCUGACUCAGAAUCUUUAUUUAUUCACCUAUUAUUAUUUUAUCCUCAUUAUCUUAUCAUCAUUUAUUGCAUGUGUGUUGUACCAUCAUUUAUCCUGUAAUAAACAGAUCAUUAUAUUUGUAAGUUCCUGUCUGUUAGUGUUCUUCCAGAAGUGGAGUCCCUGAAAUUAGAAUUUCGACUUAAGAUAUGAGACUGAUUAAUUAAGACUGACUUGAUGUUUGACUUCUGAAUUAAACUUUUGUUUUCUUUAUUUUCCCACCAUUAAGGGUGGGUGGUGCCCCUUUCAACGAGUGCAUAAAUGUCAUAAUUUGAGAUUAUUAAUCUUCAGACAUUUAUUAUAAAUUCCAAUCGCUACAGUACUAUUUUGGUACGGCCUUGUGAGGCUCAUUUCAACCGCUACAUAUAUUUUGUUGCGACCGUGUGAGGCUCAUUUCAAAUCACUACACUGGUUACACAAUGUUACUAAAGGAUGGGGGGGAGUAAAUUUGUGCAGCAACAUAAGCACUCUCAUAAAACAUAAUUAUGAACAACAGAAAAUAUGUGAGGGUCAGGGCAACAUUGUUGACAUUAAACGAGGUCCUAAUAGGAGUGGAGAAACAAGGUCACAGAGAAGUUAAGAAACAUUGAUGUGCUGUGUAAUAAAGCUAUUGGAGAGAAAAGUUAGAAAACACUGUUAUAUGAUGUGUAACGAGAGGUUAAAACAGUCCAUACUUGUAGCAAACUCUUACAAAAGAAUUUGAGUAAGAUGAUAACUUCUACAUACAUUUACCUAUUCUGACAAAUUAUCAGAAUAUGAGGACAUCAGGCUAUAUAUACAUAUUACUGUAAACUUCAGAAUUAAAUCAGAACAAAACAGUAGUCAUAAUUAAUACAUAAACGUUUUAUUUUGAUUUUUAGCUCAAUAAUAAAUUUAAUUCGAUUCUUAUGGAAUGAACGGAGCAAAAAAAAAAGGAUCCGGCGACUAAAUCCGACUACCUGAAGUAUUUCGGCGCCGGAAGUCCGCCAACGAGAAAGCCUUUCCACCGGAAGUAAUUGUUUUGGGUCCGCCAAUCGGAGGAACUUAUUGCGUUUUGUAAAUGUGGUUUUCUAUCUUUGGGUCCGCCAUCUUGCGCUGCAUCUGGUCACCUCUCCAUUCUUCCUGUCCAGAGUGAUGUGGCGGCGCAGUAGCGCCCCCACUGACCAGCCGCCACAGCUACAGGUUCACCUUAAGUUAACUGACCUCCAAACAAGUUUCUUUCAGGCAACAGAUAAGAAGAGAAAUUAUCGAGUCUUUUAAUUUUUUAAUUGAUUGAUUGAAGUUUCUUUCGCAAACCAAAAAUAUCUAUAAAAAAACAAACAAACAAGAAAAGUAAGAGAAAACAUUUAAACAUAAAACAUAGGAAUACAUAUUCGAAAAGCAGUGAGAAGAAUAAUAAUUUAUGAACUCCCACCCCUCCCUUGAAAUAAUAAGUACCCACACCAAACAUUCUUGCAUCUUGUUUUGAUAUUCCUGAUAAUUAUCAUAAAUAAAGUACACUCAUGACUUUAUAUUACAAAACAAAAUCUACAUCCACUUAAUACAGCACACACAUAAAACAACAAAACAAUAUAAAACAAGAAAGAAACAACACAAAACAAAAAAACAAAAACAAAUAAUAACCUCAUAACACUUCCUCAUCCCCAUACCUCUUAAAAAUUGUGUAUUUAUACCUGUUUUUAAACUGUGUCAUGUUUGAACAUUGCUCUAACUCUAAAAUUUAACUGUGACUCUUAAUGGAGCUGAUGUUUUACCCCUGAGCUGAUCAGACUGACAGUAUUUGCUGUUUGGCCUUAAAGGAUGGUUUGUUUCAAGACAGCAGAAAAGUACAGUGGCCUAAAGGGUCAACUGCACAAACAUGAUGCAAAUAACUUUCCCCAGAAAGGCAAACCCAUUUCACAAAAUUCAAAAAUAUAUACUGUAAUAUAAUCAUAUUUUUUCAAAUGUAGAAACAGUAAAAACCAUGUAAGAUGAAAAAUGUUUUAUCACUUUAUUUCAUUAAACUCACAAACAUUGUUCACCUUAAACAUGCGGGUUUGUUUGCUCUGCAUAUAAACUCUGAACAGAUUUAUUUACACACUGUUUGCUGUUCUGUCCUCGUUUUUUCCUGUGUGUUGUUUCCCCUACAGUGCCGCACGUUUUGGUGUUACAGAUUUCCAGAGUAAUAUUUGGAGCGAGUUAAAAACCCUGAGGGGCCAAGAGCAGAGACAGACUGCAGCGAGUCACGGGAGGUUUGCAGGUUUUCAGCUGAUAAGAAUUGCAAAGAGUAAAAAAUAAAAAAAAUACAGAUCAGAUCAGAUCAGAGGGAGAAAUGCCUCCUGCCUCCUCGCAACCCCCCUCGGCUCUGUGGCUCUGUACGACACUUUUUCAGGCUGUUUGACACUCUUUCUGUGUCACUGUACUCGCUCUGUAAAUCUAUUUUUGGCGGGAUGGAGGGAGAAGAGAAAACGGUAGAGAGAUGGAGGGAAAGUGGGAGAAAAAUGUGCAGUUUUUCCAUCACGUGUCAAAAAAUGCAGAUAUUUUUAGAUAGAAACUCCUGAUCAGUAACACUGUGUAUCUUUAUCAACAGAGGCUUUAUAUCAGCCAUGUUUCUCUCAGUCAGGAGGCGACAGUUUCUUCUCAAAUUAUGACUUUAUUUAAUGAAUGGAGAAAGCAGGACAAAUUUUUAGAAAAAAAAUUAAAUAAAGUUUUAAAUAAAGCUUGCUGAUGUGGAAAAUUAGCUUUUUUGAAUGAGUGUGUAUGUGGUCCCCAGUGCCUCUGCAACCAGCCUCUAGUGGACACUCUGGGAACUGCAGGUUUUUAGCAUCUCUGCUGUGGCUUCAUUUCACAAGACUAGAGGUUGCUGCUUGGGAAUAAAGGGAGUCCAAAACGUUGUCGUUCAUGCUCAUAGGGGUUGAAGUGGUUUUGUAAAAGACCUGAUAAACGAAACAGAUGUCUCCUCUGAUAUUAACCAGGAAGGAGAAUUAAACAACAAUUUAUUCAGACAUCUCAAGAUGUCUACAGUUGAUUUAAUGAUUUAAAAGGGGGCAGUAUUAAAGUUUUUCCCCAACCAGGGAGGGUCAGAGUUAAUCCAGGGCUUGAAAAACACAGCAGGAUCUGGUCUUGAUCAGUUGAAAUUAGACGAAUUUGGAAAUCUUGACUUGAUAUAAAGCCUGGUAAGGCCUUUUUUAGACCUGGUUGAUAUGCUGUGCAGUUUAUGUGUAUAACAUAGUAUCUACUGUUCCUUCAGGACUCUGAAAUACUGAGACUCACCAUGAACAGAUAUACAGGCAUUUCCUUGUUAGAUGUAAUGAGCCAAUUCAUAGUGUUUACUGGAGGAUUUUUCUUCCCUUUAAAUCCAAACACAGGGUUUCAUUAGCAGCGCAGCAUAAUAUAGAUCUGUAUCUGAGUGUAAAUGUUCUAUCUAGAGGAGAAUCUGAGCUGAUCUCACAUGAUGACAUCUGUCUAUUAUCAGGUUACUGCUGAUGGGAACUGGGAUAUUAAUACAGAGGGCCGUGUUACGCCUGCUUCUGCUUUCCAGCCAGACUUUAUUUACUGAUAUUCUAAUGUUAGCUCCAUAAAUAGAUAUGAUGUUGGCUCUGUUGAUAAGAACUGUUGGCAGAAGAGAAUACUUUGCUUAGUUUUACACUUUCUGAAGCUGUUUUCGUCCUCUGUGUCCGACUGUUUCUUGUGUUUCAGUGCCAAUCAGAGCUGCAGAUACAGACAACUCCAUCAUAUGUUUAUCAGAGCUUCAGUCCCUCUGCUUCCACACCAGGGAGCCUCCAUCAGCUUGCCGCACAGCAUGCUGGGAGCUCUGGUUCCUCUGCGGCUCCAUCAUUUUCACUUCUCUUCUUGUUCUGUCUGAAACAUCUUCCCUGACAUGGCUCUGUCCUGACUGAAGUGUGUUCUCUCUCUGAUAACAGGUCACGUGAUCUGCAUGAAUUCACGUGGAUUCGGCCGACUUCAAAGAUAGAGGAGGAGUUUGCUCAAAGGAGACCGAGGGCGUGAUAAACGUAUGGAAAUCCCUGACGCUCUUCAGAGCCACUUGUUAUGCCAAUCACAUCAGCUGUUCUUUCAGCCUGACGAGGAAACACGCUCACCUGAACUCCUACAAUUACAAUUCAGACUCACCUUGAGAAGCAGAGGGAAGGUUUGCUCAUCUUAAGAGAGACUCAUGGAUGGCUUACAUCAGACGGGGGUCUACUGAGCAAAGACUCAGGGGCUGGGGGGGAGGUUGGGGCUUUCUAAGGUCUCGGUCUUUCCAACAAAGAAGCUUCUAUUACCCGCUGUUCAAUCACCUUUAAAGAAAAAUAUAAACUCUUUUGAGAUCCUGAAAAGGCUGAACUCACAGGCUCCCCAAUCUCUGUCAAAGACACCUGCACCUUCUUCAGACUCAAUCAUAGCAGCAGAGACGACAGCAGACUCUGAAGACGCUGCGCCUCAAGAAUUAUAAUCUUCUUCUGCUAAAUUGGAGCACGGGCCAUCUUUUUAUUACUUUAAUGACAUGCAGAUCAAUGAAAGUCAUUAAAUCUGAUCAAAUCUGAAAUCAGUUUGUUUUAAAAGGACAAAAAUAUUUCAUUAUUUACAGCCACCAAAAGAUUCAAAGAGUCUCUGUAUAAAUCUCUGUACAGAGGCGACCAAAAUCAAGAUUGAAUGGUCCUGAUUUCGAGGCCCUGAGGCAACACUGCAUUAAAAACAGACAGGGAAAUACUGCAUUUGCUCAAAAACCAUGGCCUGUGAACACAGUUUAUCACUGCAUCCACAGAUGAGGUCAAAACUGAACCAUGAAAAGAGGAAACCAGGUAGGAACAGAGAAACACCAGAGACUGACCAAUCAGAAUCUGACAUUCUCUCUGAUAAUCAUGGUCCUGUGAAUGCAGUUGAUGAAAAUGAAAGGUUUAAGCAUAAAUAAAUGUGAUCUCAUUGAAGAUGGACUGAGGGGAAGAGGAAAGUCAGUUAAGUGCCUCCAAAGUCCAGCAACAAACCGCUGACAGAGACAGUUUGGGAGUGGAUCAUGAAGAUUGAAAAACCAGAUAUCCAAAUAUUUUCCUGAAGAUAGACGGUUAAAACUAGAUGAAUUUUAGUGAAACUAAUUUGUUUUUUCUAAAGCCCUGUGAAAAUGAACUUGCUGAUAAAGAAACAGCUUGUGUGCCAGUGGCCACUGACCCCUCAUCUCUGCUUUGCUGUUUGAUGUUGCAGCGGAUGACACCCUUUGACACUGGCGUGGUGAUCUUAACAGCUCAUAUCUAGCCCUCUGUGGAUGUUUCUCUGAUCCUGGUCGAGCCUCAGGGGGACGACAGAUAAUCACAGAGCUGGCACAGAGUCCAACAUGUGACCCAAACAACCUACGACCAGAUCUUCUCCUCUGAAGUGAUUCAUUUCCUGUUUGGCAGUGCUGCGUCUGGCUUGGCAGCCAAUCGGGGCCUGAGUGGACUCUCCCCCUCUUCAUAACUUUGGAUAACAAGGAGAAACUGUGACCUCUGACCCACAGAAGGACGCCAACCACAGGCCUCAGUCAGGAAACAGGAAACAACAGGUCUAUGCUCAGCUCACGAGGGCCUACCCAUAAUUCUGAGCACGUUUUAUCAAUAUCCAUCUUCACACGGAGGAGUUUCCAAUAUUUCCACGUGUUAGUGAGCUCAGGAGACCAGGUUCAAGAGUCUGACAGUGAAAUGUUGUCCGAUUCAUGCCUAAUAGAGGAUUUCAGCUGCUCAAAGGUUUAGGAUCUCCUCUACUCACUGAACUCUCCUCUACUUUUGAGCGUCAAGGCUUUGGUAGACAACAAGCUGAGGGCCCCUCUGCUCUAUGGUGUGGAGGACGUGGUGUCCAUGAUCUCCAAACAGAAUGUCAAAUUUUGAUUCGGCACAGGACAGUCUGGCAAGACAGAGGCAGUAACAUUCGAGAGUUAAGUUGUAAAGUUAUGAAAAAAGUUUUUAUUUUAGGAAAAAUAAGUCAUACAUUUUUAAGAGUGGCUUCAGGUUGUGUUUUAUUUUGAAAGGGCAGAUCAGAGAGCAGGUGUCGCACGUUUUUAGCCCAUUAGAAAGACUGAUUUUGGAGCCCAGACUUCUUAUAAAUAUCUAAGAUACUAGACUUGGUACUGAAGACUGGGUCAAUGUUUUUAUUUCUUUUGUAGCUCACCAAAAUAAUAUGAAACUUUGAAUUACAGCACAAAAACAGCAUUUUAAUUUGAAUUUAAUUGAGAAGUGUCUCCACACAUGUGCAGUAUGUAAUAGCUAAAGUCAGCCUUGAACAGAUAAUAAAGGAGUUCAUGUUAUUUUGAUGCUUCAGGCUGUUGCUACAGAUCUGUCACCGAGCGGUCACGGCCCUUUGGGGAGAAGGAAUCCCCACAUGUUCAAGUCUGUGUUAGUGUGUGGACUCCCGGGCCUGUAAAACAAACGUUAUGUAACCUGGUGAGCUGCAGACAGUCUGAGCCCAGAGGUAACAGACACAAGGAUCAUCCCUGAUUACUGUUUCUGCUCGUUGGACCACAGAGAGACUGAAAUGAUGUUUUUCUGCACACAUCGUCUCGCUGCCUCUGCUUGACUCGACUCGUUUGGCUCUCAGACUUGUACGUUCUGUCUUUUCCAAUGAGGUUCACAGACUCCCUGAGCAAAACAUAAAAAUAACACUGCAUACCUGUUAAAGCCUUAAACACCAAUGCAGGCAGUAAGUUUGCGCACCAAAAAGCCUUAUGUUCAUUGAUGGAUAAAUGUCUUUUUUUUCAAACGACACACCCAGAAAUAUAACCUUCAGAAACACACUGAUAACAACAGCAGUUUUACCCUGCAGAGUGUGGGAGCUGCUGGUCCACUCCUGCCUAAAUAAGGGGUUGUGUGUGUGUGUUAUUGUGUGGCCCCCAAAUAUUGUGCAGACUUAAACAUUCCUACUGAGCAAUAGACGACUACUAAACGUCUAGUUUUUUUUUAGACCUAUAAUUUCAACCGUCUAGAUUCUGUAUAUUUUUAGACGGAAUUGAGACGUUGCACUUUCACUCAUUACUCAAUAACUAUUUAUGUCAAAAAGCAACUGUGAGUUGCAUAACUGAUCUGUAAAUACUGAACCAAAAAAUUAUGAUAGCCGUUGAGCAAUAUACAGUCAGACCUCCAUUAGCCGGCUAGUCUAAACUUUGUCGAAAUUUAGAUGUCCAAAAAACUUUCAUUUUUAGACCUGUGGUAGCCUGAUUUUAGACCAGUCAUCUAGACUACAUUUAGACAUCUACUGACGUCUUAUAGACCAAAAAAUACUCAGAGGGUGAGAAACACAAAAGCCAAACAACAAGAAAAGACACUACGUUAUAGUGUCAGUGGUAGACCAACAACUCCUGUGUUCUGCCAACCCAAAUUUCUGACAUGACAGGAAUUCAUCCAGUCAGUCAGGAGCAGCUGAUCAGGCUUUUAUGGGCUUUUGUCAACUUCAAGUGAAAUUUGGUCCAGGCACAGUUUAACUGCUGAGCUGUACCUUUGAAUUCUGUAAAGUGUGCAAAAAUGGGCCGUGGUUAAAAGUGUCAGGAUCAUCUGUUUAAUAUGCUGAUGAUGAUGCAAAACUCACCACCAGUUUUUAAAUGUGAUAUGACGGAGAGAUAAACACGUUCCUGAAGAGAAAUGUUCACCUCCUGCAGAUUUUUCACUGACUGUAAAUCCUCAGGUUCGUCAAACACUUGUGGCGCUCUGAGCUGCAGUAUGGCGAGCAUGUGUUUGGCAGUCAGGGUGGCCUUGAAAACAUUUCUGCAAGUGUUUCAGAGGAAUGAGGAGUAUGUGGAUGUUGUGUUUUUAUCUGUGGUUUCUAAAGAAGGACACACUGUGUUCAUGCUUUCUGUCAGAGUGGAGGUUUUAUGGAUUUAUCUCUGUAAAUUUCUGUGCGGUUUUGGCAGAUAUCAGUUGGUGAAUGGAGCUUCAGAAACACACAAACAUGGUCUCAUGUGUUGUGUUGUAAUCUGCUGAUUUACAGUCUAUGAAGGUGACUGUGUCAUUCAGCUGAAACUGGAGAUGGCACGUAUUUCUGAAGCCUCACUGACUGUCCUUGAACCUGUAAGUCUCACCUCACUGCAGAUCUGUUUAUAAGAAAACCGAUCCAAUACAGAAAUAUAGAAACCUCAGAAAUAUCACUGUUUUUGAGAGUAAACACAAAAGUCUUAAAGAGGACUACAGUUCUAGAUUUUUGGGUCUGUAUGAGAUCACUGAUCUAAAGAAGGCUGCUGAACUUGAUGGCCACGUGUUUACAAAAGCUGGACUCUCAAAACCAUCAGUAACAAGCUGAGGACAUCAAAAAUACCCUACCCCCUAAAAUGAUACAUUUAUUUCUCUCAUAUGCUUUUGGCUCAAUGGGUAAAUAUAAGUUUUUGAUAACCCUUUCUUUUACGGUACACUUAUUACCAGGUAAUUACCUAGAAACAACAUGAAAUUAUCUGGUAAUUACAUGAUAACUACUAAGUCAAUAAUGUCUAGCUACCAGGUAGGUAACCUUCCAUCAUCAUACAAAUCUGAAGCUGAAUUGCUCUGGUAUUUCCAGGAUUUUCUCCGCUUCCUGGAACCACCUCUUGUGCAGUAGCAUUGUACGCAUUUGGUGGGUGAGUCGCUGUGAUAAUGCUCGGCUCAAACAGCGUAUCGCUAUGCAGUCUUCGCACGCCCAUAGGCUGUAUCAAGUGUCAAUCAUAGAAUAAAAAAACCCCAAAUAGCUUUUGAAAAUGGAGCUGCACAGAAAAAAGAAAAAAUAGACAGUAUUGACUUAGUAGUUAUCAUGUAAUUACCAGAUAAUUUCAUGUUGUUACUAGGUAAUUACCUGUUAAUUACCUGGUAAUAAGUGUACCAUAAAAGAAAGCAUUACCAAGUUUUUAAAACAACAGCUCUAUUGAUUAGCCAAUUUAUCAAUAUAUGAUUCCCAUUUCAGCGCUCCAGAGAGUCAGUCAGAGUUUGGGUUUAAUCUUCCUAAACCACAUUUUGUUUAUUUACUGAAUUUUUCUCACAUAACAGCAAUGCCAAACAUAUUCCACAGACCUCAGACCCACAGCCCGACCUUUGACCCAGCCUCAGUCCCAGCAGGUCAUCUGCAGCCAACUGUAAUAAUGUCAGCAGUCCAACAGUGUGGUCAGAAAUCAUCACUGUUUAGGGACAGAAACACAGCUGCUUUCAGUUCACAGAGGGUGGAAUUUCAAACCAAAAUGUGUUUAACGCUUUCAAACAUCCACCGAUACUCCUUUUCAGGCCACAAUGAGAUGGAACUGGAGAGUUUCGAUAACCACCAACCACAGAAAUGGUUUCACUGGGCUGAGACUUUGGUGGUAAGUUAAUAUGCACAUUAUAUCCAGGUUUUUGGAUAUGAGAUUUACGAUGUUGCCAAAAAAUGUUGAGUUAUGUUUGUGUCUCAUUUCUUUGCAUAAACGCAAGUUUGUAUUUUCAGAGUUUUGUCCAAAUGUGAAAAGUUGAGGUGUUCCGUCAGCCUGAAAAAGUCCCUCCUGAUGGCACCAAAGUUGAGGCUGAUUUGAAUAAUUUCUUUGGUAUGAUUAUCUAUUACUCUGUAUGAAGAUGAAGAGGGCCGUGGAUGCAUAAGCUGAAAUAAAACUUAAUUUGUUACCAUUUAACACGACCUUGAAGCUCAAAAGCAACGUUUCAUUUCAAGUUUUUAUAUUGUUAACCUUUCUGAAUCUGACUUUGCUGCAGAAAUAUUAUUUCAGAUCUCCACUCACUCGUCUACAGAUAUCCUCUCUUCACUCCUCUG
rnacentral:lncRNA from 1 species